rnacentral:rRNA from 1 species
UAGGCGUAAAUGAUGCGAGUUAAGUGUGGGGGCAUCUACGAGAUGGCCCUGUGCUGUAGGGUAGCCGUUAAACUCGCUGCCUGGGGAGUACGGUCGCAAGGCUGAAACUUAAAGGAAUUGGCGGGGGGAGCACCACAAGAGGUGGAGGCUGCGGUUCAAUUGGAUUCAACGCCGGAAAUCUUACCGGGACCGACAGCAACAUGAGGGCCAAGCUGAAGACUUUGCCGGAUUAGCUGAGAGGAGGUGCAUGGCGUAGUCGUGU